rnacentral:rRNA from 1 species
AGUGAACGCUGGCGGCGUGCUUAACACAUGCAAGUCGAACGAGAACGGAUUAUAGCUUGCUAUAAUUGUCAGCUAAGUGGCGCACGGGUGAGUAAUGUAUAGGUAAUAUGCCUCUUACUAAGGGAUAACAAAUGGAAACGUUUGCUAAUACCUUAUACUCCUUAUUAACCUAAGUUAAUAAGGGAAAGAUUUAUUGGUAAGAGAUUAGCCUGUAUUGUAUCAGUUAGUUGGUGGGGUAAUGGCUUACCAAGACUAUGACACAUAACUGGUUUGAGAGGAUGAUCAGUCACACUGGAACUGAGACACGGUCCAGACUCCUACGGGAGGCAGCAGUGGGGAAUAUUGCACAAUGGACGAAAGUCUGAUGCAGCAACGCCGCGUGGAGGAUGACACAUUUCGGUGCGUAAACUCCUUUUAUAUGAGAAGAUAAUGACGGUAUUAUAUGAAUAAGCACCGGCUAACUCCGUGCCAGCAGCCGCCGCAGUAA